AUUGAACGCUAGCGGGAUGCCUUACACAUGCAAGUCGAACGGAGUGGCGAACGGGUGAGUAAUGUAUCGGAACGUGCCCAGUAGCGGGGGAUAACUACGCGCAAGCGUAGCUAAUAACGCAUACUAUUGGAGCGGCCGAUACCGGAUUAGCUAGUUGGUGGGGUAACGGCUCACCAAGGCGACGAUCCGUAGCUGGUUUGAGAGGAUGACCAGCCACACGGGGACUGAGACACGGCCCAGACUCCUACGGGAGGCAGCAGUGGGGAAUUUUGGACAAUGGGGGAAAGCCUGAUGCAGCCAUCCCGCGUGUGUGAUGAAGGCCCUAGGGUUGUAAAGCACUUUUGGCAGGGAGGCGGUACCUGCAGAAUAAGCACCGGCUAACUACGUGCCAGCAGCCGCGGUAAUAC
rnacentral:rRNA from 1 species